UACGUAGGGUGCGAGCGUUAAUCGGAAUUACUGGGCGUAAAGUGUGCGCAGGUGGCCGCGCAAGUCGAGUGUGAAAUCCCGAGCUUAACUGGGAACUGCGUGUGAUACUGGAUGGCUUGGAUUUGGGAGAGGAUGCGGAAUUCCAGGUGUAGCGGUGAAAUGCGUAGAUAUCUGGAGGAACACCGGUGGCGAAGGCGGCAUCCUGGACCAAUAUUGACGCUGAGGAGCGAAAGCUAGGGGAGCAAACGGG
rnacentral:rRNA from 1 species